UUCCAUGUUUGUAGUGACGACACUCGCAGUCACUGUCUCUCUCUCUUGAUUUGAAGGUAUAAGAAAUUGUUCAGUUCUAGGACUCUCACAACAGUGUUGAUCAGAGUCACCUCCUGGUAUCUGUGUUUUGUGGGGUUUGUGCUGUGUGGUUGGAGUUUUCCACUGGUCUGGCUGUGGUUUCGCUGUGCAGGUGUGGUCGGUUGCUAGGAAACAGACACGACAGUUGAUUGGAGACUUUGAUCGAGGAGGAACAUGUGAACCUCAUCAGAACAUCCAUCUUCCACAUUACUGCGGUGUGUGGGGGUCUUCCAGCUGUGGUUUGGGCACUGCAUGUUCUGUACCACCAUCAUAAAAGUGGAGGCAGAAUCUCAGCCAUCAGCAUCUUCCUCAUCCUCAGUGACCUGCUGGAGCUGAUU